CGCGACGAGCAGAGCAGGGAGGAAGAGAGUGUGAAACCCAACCUAAAAUUGGAGCUCCCGCUCCGCCGCCUCCUCCCCCUACUUAUCCCCUACCCGCGGAUCGACCCCAACCCUAGGCCCCCCCGCCAUUCCCCCUUCCCCUCCUCGCCGCCAUGCCCCGCCGCCGCCGCACCCGCACCGUCGACAACGUCACCAUCGACCUCGUCGACAGCGACGACGAGUGCAAAAACAAGCGUCCUCGAACAAGACAAAAAAAAGCACCAAGGACUGCGAGGGGCUCCAAAAGUGCAUUGCCUUCUUGUGAUGAUGCUCUAACCUCAAAUAAAAGAUCAAAUCGCAUUGCAACAAGCAACAGGGACAAAAAGAAUAAAGACAAAUUGGAUACUGACAUUUUUGAAUCAUACCUGGAGGAUCUUUGGAAGCACGUUGAUGAAGAAAAGAGGAGUGCUUAUGCAUACUUUGAUUCAUUGUGGUUUAACAUGUACAACAGUGGACAUAAUAAACCAAAUGUCCUUAAAUGGAUUAAGGCGAAAAAUGUAUUUUCAAGACAGUAUGUCUUUGUUCCUAUUGUUUGCUGGGGACACUGGAACCUCCUUGUCUUGUGCAACUUCGGCAAGACAGAUUACCUUGGUACUGACAAAGGACCACGCAUGCUGCUUUUGGAUUCGCUUAAAACAACAAAUCCGACAAGGUUGCGAUCGGCUAUCAGAAGAUUUAUUGCUGAUAUUUUUAAAACUGAAGAGAGGGAAGAGAGUGAGCAAUACAUUAACAAAAUAUGUCUUGAAUUCCCUGAGGUGCCACAGCAGAAUGGGGAUGAAUGUGGUAUAUAUGUUCUUUAUUUUAUCUACUGUUUUCUUCAGAACAAGAUACUGGGAGAAGAUUUCAGCCAGCUGUUUGAUGAGCCAGAAUUAGAGAAUUUCCGCAAGGGUGUUCAUUCAUUCCAGGAGAAUAGAAAAAAAGAAACUGAAGAGUAGGUCAGCAUAGUGGAUGGCAAGAUUUCACCAAGUAUAUGUAGUUAUCAUGUAUGUAAGACUACUAAUAUAAUGGCAAGUGACUGCUUCAUCUUCCUGGUGGUAAAAUUUGAGGAAGUUUGAAGAUUGUCGAGAAUAUGUUUGUCAUACAGUUCAUGCCGUCAAGAGGAAGAUGGCUGUUUGUCCAGCGCAAAGCUUCAGUGACAGUUAGCAUCUAUUUAGUCAUACAGAAUCUGCGGAUGAUUCCUUUCCUUAAAUAGGUUAAAAAUAUCAUUUAGUGUAUUUGAGUGAUUUGAUAGGAUACUUAUUGCCGGGAAAUGCUGGGUGGGAUUUCCACCACCCUUUCAGAAUAUUUAGCAGAGUGUUAUAUGAUGUAUAUCAAUGUUUGUAUUCAGACUUCAAAGAUAUACUUCCAGGCAAUACCAUUACUGAUUAGUACUUGAUGCACCUAAAUGUUUUUAGCAUCAGCAAUCUGGAAGUAGCAUUAUGCUGUGCUCUGUAUGAUAGUAAAACAGAACAAAGAUUACAUAUGGUGUAUGAUACUGUAUCUAUGACACUGGGAGAUCAUAUAUGAACAUAUGAAGGAUUGUUCGUACCAUGCUUGGAA